rnacentral:rRNA from 1 species
CCUACGGGUGGCAGCAGUGGGGAAUAUUGCACAAUGGGGGAAACCCUGAUGCAGCAACGCCGCGUGGAUGAAGACGUAUUUCGGUGUGUAAAGCCCUAUCAGCAGGGAAGAGAAUGACGGUACCUGACUAAGAAGCCCCGGUUAACUACGUGCCAGCAGCCGCGGUAAUACGUAGGGGGCCAGCGUUAUCCGGAUUUAUGGGGUGUAAAGGGGGCGUAGACGGUUGUGCAGGUCUGAAGUGAAAGCCCGCGGCUCACCUGCGGAACGGCUUUGGAAACUGUGUAACUGGAGUGCUGGUGAGGUAAGCGGAAUGUGUGGUGUAGCGGUGAAAUGCGUAGAGAUCAGGAGGAACACCGGCUGCGAAGGCGGCUUACGGGACAGUAACUGACGUUGAGGCUCGAAAGCGUGGGUAGCAAACAGGAUUAGAUACCCGGGUAGUC